AAAAUCCGUCGACUUUAUAAGUCGUGAUGGUUCAAGUCCCUCUAUCCCCA
rnacentral:tRNA from 2 species